rnacentral:sRNA from 2 species
AUUCUACCCAUGUGGGGAAGGAUGAGAAGCUUCGACUAAGGUUCGAUUCGAGCGCAGCGAGAAAGCGUUGCCGCAGGCAACGACCCGAAGGGCGAA